GACGAACGCUGGCGGCGGGCUUAACACAUGCAAGUCGAACGGAAAGGCCCUGCUUUUGUGGGGUGCUCGAGUGGCGAACGGGUGAGUAACACGUGAGUAACCUGCCCUUGACUUUGGGAUAACUUCAGGAAACUGGGGCUAAUACCGGAUAGGAGCUCCUGCUGCAUGGUGGGGGUUGGAAAGUUUCGGCGGUUGGGGAUGGACUCGCGGCUUAUCAGCUUGUUGGUGGGGUAGUGGCUUACCAAGGCUUUGACGGGUAGCCGGCCUGAGAGGGUGACCGGCCACAUUGGGACUGAGAUACGGCCCAGACUCCUACGGGAGGCAGCAGUGGGGAAUAUUGCCCAAUGGGCGGAAGCCUGAUGCAGAAACGCCGCGUGCGGGAUGACGGCCUUCGGGUUGUAAACCGCUUUCGCCUGUGACGAAGCGUGAGUGACGGUAAUGGGUAAAGAAGCACCGGCUAACUACGUG
rnacentral:rRNA from 1 species